CUCGGAUCAGGUAGGGAUACCCGCUGAACUUAAGCAUA
rnacentral:rRNA from 1 species